rnacentral:snRNA from 1 species
UUCUCAGCUUUGCCAACUGGCUUAGAUCAAGUGUAGUAUCUGUUCUUUUCAGUUUAAUCGUGAGUGCUGUUCUCCUGGAAUUCCAUUGAAUUGGUGCUAACUUGGACAGUCUGAAAUGUGAGCAAUCCGCCACUCUCCAAUGUCUUCUGACGCGUGCUGACUGUCACCAGGUCACUACGGUGACAAACAUUGAUUAAAUUUAUUUUUGCACCUCGCUUGAGUCAUUCUGUGCUUGCACAGAGGUCUCUCGCACCGUGUCCGAGGCCUUACACUGCCGCCUUGUGACGCGAAUCACC